rnacentral:rRNA from 1 species
GAUCCUGGCUCAGGACGAACGCUGGCGGCGUGCCUAAUACAUGCAAGUCGAGCGCGGGAAGCGAGCUGAAGCCCUUCGGGGCGGACGCUCGUGGAACGAGCGGCGGACGGGUGAGUAACACGUGGGCAACCUACCUGUAAGACCGGAAUAACCCCGGGAAACCGGGGCUAAUGCCGGGUAACCGUUCGGUUCUCCUGAACCGAACGUAAAAGGAUGGCUUCUUGCUAUCGCUUACAGAUGGGCCCGCGGCGCAUUAGCUAGUUGGUAAGGUAACGGCUUACCAAGGCGACGAUGCGUAGCCGACCUGAGAGGGUGAUCGGCCACACUGGGACUGAGACACGGCCCAGACUCCUACGGGAGGCAGCAGUAGGGAAUCUUCCGCAAUGGACGAAAGUCUGACGGAGCAACGCCGCGUGAACGAUGAAGGCUUUCGGGUCGUAAAGAUUGCUGUUGUGAGGGAAGAACAAGGAUCGUGCGAACAGA